rnacentral:lncRNA from 8 species
AAGGUGCAACUGGUUGCUAGAAUUCUAAUAAUUCGCCUAAUUUCAGUUUAUGUGAUUGUACCAUCUAAACCGCUGUGGAAAUAUAUUUUCAAUAACCAAAAUAUUGUAUUUUCAUCUGUUUGAAGCUGGUGUACAAAACCGAAAGUAAAAGACGCAAAAACUAAACUUAAGAACCGGAAACAUAGAAAUAGCCAACAUAGAACAGAUCAACUGCAUCUUAGACUUGCUUUCAAUUACAAUGACAUAUCUAUAACUCAUUUAUAUUUGUAUUUGGUUCGGUCUCCCAAAAAGAGCCAUAUUGCAUCAGUUGGAUUUGGAUAGGCGCUUGGACAGACAGUCGUUGUGAGGAACAAUCGCGCCCCUACAGACGACAAAAAAAUCGUUGCGACCCAUUAAAUGGCAUAGUCUCUGCCGCCCUCCCGCGGUCUUUUGUCGUGAUGAUUUGAACUGUAUGUGCCAGUGACGCAAGUUCUUUAAACAGUUUAGCUAGCUUUUCCUGUAAAGGGUGACACUGACAGCUUCUCACGGAACUUAUCAUCUGUAGUGAGUUGUGGAAACUAGCUAACCUCCUAAAUAAACAUUUAUAUGUUCGUUCGUUCUGAUCCACAGCAAAAACAGGAGACUUGCGCCAAGACAAGCUCAACAAAGAGCCAGUCAUCAUUAUCAUCAUGUCGGGAACACAAUCGCAAGCCACAGCCUCCUCCCUCCAGAUAUGCAGAUCCAAUGAAAGCUCAACCUCCCCACAAUAUUUCCUGUCCUGCUCUCCAAAUAUGGCAAUUGCCAUGGCAACCACAUGGAGAGCGAAGCUGUUGGCCAAGGUCCCAUGGGGAUGGGCAGUAGCGCGAGUGCUAGGAAGCCAGUUAGUCCGGAAAUCACAACAGAGGCGGGGUCAGUGUGAGUAUGAUGUCAUUGUGGGUUGUAACAGGGAGAUGAGUAGUGAAUGAAGAGUAGUGAAUGAAAAGGAGAGAGGCUGAUCAGACAGACAGACAGACAGACAGACAGACAGACAGACAGACAGACAGACAGACAGACAGACAGACAGACAGACAGACAGACAGACAGACAGACAGACAGACAGACAGACAGCAGGAGUGUUAAGACUGAUUCUAAGUCAGUGCACACAGGUUUCCCUCAAUCAGCAGACUGAAGAUGGGUCCCAAACAGCAACUCAGCAGGUAGAGUUGACACACACACACACACACACACACACACACACACACACACACACAUUUUUUCCCCAGAGGCCAUGAUCAUGCUUUGUAGCCUACUUCUUUGAGUGAGUUAUGACUACCUGUGUCCUUUUGUCAUUUACUCAGUUAAUUAAGUAGACAGGUUCAGUAUACAGUAACCUCCAUUGUGAUUACAACGCUGAUUUUCUAACAUUGCAUACUAUUGGUCAUUAGUUUCUCCCUAUGACUUAGUGAUCAGUCAUGCAUUGCGUGAAUCAAAGUGAGACGAAUUGGAAGUGCACUUGGCUCUCUUACUGGCACGGAUUUCACUGAUCGCCUCUUUAUUAAGGAAUGUUUUACUUGCAAUGACUGUGAUAUGUGGUCGUCUUACGUACCUUAGUUGAAUGCACUGAUUGUAAAUCACCCUGGAUAAGAGUGCCUACUAAAUUACCAAAAUGUCAAUUUAUGAUUGUGAAAUAAUGUUAAAGAAGUAGUAGAAGUAUCAGAAGUAGCAGGCUUACACAAUGUGGAUUUGUAUAAGACUGUCCUAUUACUUGUGGUUGCUUAUCUGAGAUGUAUGUGUGUUGUGUGUGUGUGUGCGUGCGCGUGUGUGUGUGUCUGCGCCGAUACGUACGGUCCUGGUUGUGUACGGUCUGCAUGAGUGAGUUUGUCAGGAGUCUUGAACAGUGUGUAUUGACUCUACAUCAUGUCUGCGUGAGUGCGUGUGCCCACUAUCUGUCCUCAUGACACAUUCAAACAGAGCAGGCCAUUAACUCAUUGGGGUGUGUGAUGUAGAUGGCUUUUUAGGGGGAGCACACUUCAGUGAGGCCUGUGAACAGAAAGACGGAAACGUGCCACCGUUAGUCGGGGACGGCUGAUGGGGGGUGAUC